rnacentral:rRNA from 1 species
GUGGCUAAUAGGCGCUGUAGAAAACAUUCCAUGAUCCCGCUUGAAUGCGGGCUUGUGAUUAUAGAAGGGACCAAAAACAUAUUAUCCCAUGCCACUAAGUAUUAUAAAAAACUUUUUGGGCCGGCUCCUGGCAAUCUAUGCCAGAUUGAUGCAGACUUAUAGUCUCAAGAUGAGAAAAUUUCUCCUGCGGAUAAUGAUGACUUGACUCGACCUUUUUCUCUUGAUGAGAUUAAAAAAGCUCUUUUUGAAAUGAGAUCUAACCGUGCCCCUGGCCCGGACGACAUCCCUGUUGAAUUUUAUCAACAUUGCUGGGAUGUGGUUGGUCGAGACCUAUUUUGCAUGUUUGAAUGCUUAUAUGAGGGCAGGCUGGAUGUGCAACGCCUGAACUAUGGCAUUAUAACUCUGUUACCUAAGUCAACAGAUGCUAGAAAAAUCCAGCAGCAUAGACCCAUUUGCUCGUUACGUUGCCCAUACAAGAUGAUCACUAAAGUCAUGGACAUUAGGGUUAGCAAGUAUGCUCAUAAACUAUUUAGUAUUCAAUGCUUUCACUAA